GAGGGUACAGCUCGGUGGUAGAGCAUGUGCUUAGCAUGCACGAGGUCCUGGGUUCAACCUCCGGUACCUCUG
rnacentral:tRNA from 1 species